GCAAGUCGAACGAGAACGGGAUUGCUUGCAAUCCUCAGUAAAGUGGCGCACGGGUGAGUAACACGUGGAUAACCUACCUGAGGUUCUGGAACAACAUUGCGAAAGCGAUGCUAAUACCGGAUGAAAUGUUUUUCUCUUCGGAGAAUUACAUGAAAGGGUGCCUCUAUUUGUAAGCAUCUGACAUUAGAUGGGUCCGCGGAUCAUUAGCUUGUUGGUGGGGUAAUGGCCUACCAAGGCAACGAUGAUUAGCUGGUCUGAGAGGAUGAUC
rnacentral:rRNA from 1 species